rnacentral:misc_RNA from 1 species
GACUUUCGACAAUGGAUCUCUUGGUUCUGGCAUCGAUGAAGAACGCAGCGAAAUGCGAUAAGUAAUGUGAAUUGCAGAAUUCAGUGAAUCAUCGAAUCUUUGAACGCACAUUGCGCCCGCCAGUAUUCUGGCGGGCAUGCCUGUUCGAGCGUCAUUUCAACCCUCAAGUCCCCUGUGGACUCGGUGUUGGGACCGGCGAGACAGCCGCGGAUCUUCUUCCGCAGCGAGUCGCCGCCCCCCAAAUGACUUGGCGGCCUCGUCGCGGCCCUCCCCUGCGUAGUAUAGCACACCUCGCAACAGGAGCCCGGCGAAUGGCCACUGCCGUAAAACCCCCCAACUUUUUCAGAGUUGACCUCGAAUCAGGUAGGAAUACCCGCUGAACUUAAGCAUAUCAAUAAGCGGAGGCU